UACGGAGGGGGCUAGCGUUGUUCGGAAUUACUGGGCGUAAAGCGUGCGCAGGCGGUUCGUUGUGUCCGUCGUGAAAGCCCCGGGCUUAACCUGGGAACUGCGAUGGAAACUAGCGAGCUGGAGUGUGGCAGAGGGGGGUGGAAUUCCGCGUGUAGCAGUGAAAUGCGUAGAGAUGCGGAGGAACACCGAUGGCGAAGGCAGCCCCCUGGGCUAACACUGACGCUCAGGCACGAAAGCGUGGGGAGCAAACAGG
rnacentral:rRNA from 1 species